GUGGGGAAUUUUGGACAAUGGGCGCAAGCCUGAUCCAGCAAUGCCGCGUGCAGGAAGAAGGCCUUCGGGUUGUAAACUGCUUUUGUACGGAACGAAACGGUCCUGGUUAAUACCUGGGGCUAAUGACGGUACCGUAAGAAUAAGCACCGGCUAACUACGUGCCAGCAGCCGCGGUAAUACGUAGGGUGCGAGCGUUAAUCGGAAUUACUGGGCGUAAAGCGUGCGCAGGCGGUUAUAUAAGACAGAUGUGAAAUCCCCGGGCUCAACCUGGGAACUGCAUUAGUGACUGUAUAGCUGGAGUGCGGCAGAGGGGGAUGGAAUUCCGCGUGUAGCAGUGAAAUGCGUAGAUAUGCGGAGGAACACCGAUGGCGAAGGCAAUCCCCUGGGCCUGCACUGACGCUCAUGCACGAAAGCGUGGGGAGCAAACAGGAUUAGAUACCCGUGUAGUCC
rnacentral:rRNA from 1 species